CAUAUUUAUCAUCUUCCUUCAGGUAUACCAUAUUUGCCACUCAUAUGGAGAAUAUAUCGGAAUUAGCAACAAUCUAUCCUAACGUGAAAAUUCAUCACUUUCAUGUUGAAUUAAAAAACAACCAUUUGGAGUUCAAGGAAGGACCGAAGCAUAUCCCCCAUUAUGGGCUUCUCUUAGCAGAAGAGGCAGGAUUACCAAGUUCAGUUAUUGAGACAGCCAGAAUGAUCACAGGAGCAUUAGAAUCAGGAGAUUUUUCAUGAGAUCGACACCCAUCAAACCUGGAUUUACGAACAUGAUCGUCCCCGACGCAAAACUCGACAACAUAUUAAAAUGAUGAAAACUGUAGAUAACCCGGUAAAACAUUGCAGAACAAGAAUUUUGUAAAAACUAAUUUCGAGGAACAAAGAGGGCUUUCGUGGAAAUUCGCUGCUGCAAAUCAGAAUCACGGCGCUGGAACUAUGUCGAUGCCACCAUCGAAAGAUAAGUGUUUCUCAUCCAUUACUUUAAAUUAUCGAAAGACUACUUUUGAAUUGGGUUAUGCAUGACAGGUUUUACACGGUUUUGGUGAAGUUGUAACUUUUGUAAAGACUGCCAUAGAUUGCAGGGGGAUGUAUAAUUAAUAAUUAGGCCUUCUGUUUGCUGUUCUGAUAACUGAAGUGUUGACUGAUUCAAUUAAAGACGUUGUUGGCAGGCCACGGCCCGACUUCUUUUGGCGUUGCUUUCCUGAUGGAAUACAGGUGUAUGAUGCAUUGGGAGGUGUGAUUUUUCAUGGAAAGUUUAGUGAUAUAAAAGAAGUACAUAAGAGUUUCCCAAGCGGUCAUACAUCAUGUCUUGGUUUUCUCUCCUUGAAUUGAUGCUCAUUAUGAUUCAGCCCCAUCUGCAUAAUUUGAAGGACCUUCUUUGGUGCCAACUUGGAUCCUUGGACUGGUCGUCAUCUUUGUUCUUCUGAAACCUCUUUGCAAUUGGUCUGGUUUAUUCUCAAGUUGCUUCCGAGAUAAUAGAGAAGAAAUUGGCUGAUGUGAAGCAAGGGAUGUCUCACGCUUAUUAGAAUUAUCUGGAACGUCUCGCGCUUAUUUGUAAUAAUCUAUAGUGUGUCUAUUGUUUAAUAUGAUAUCUCUUCAUUUUGUUAAACCAGCUGUAUCUAAUUUUCCUUCAUGUGAGUGGAAUUAACAUUUUAUUCAAAGAGUAUUCAAUUAUGAGUCACUGUUUUCCGCUGCAAUGUUGUUAACUUCCAGGCAAAAGCAUGGUUUUUGAAUCAAUUUAGGGAGCUGCUUUGGAAUUACUUGG